CUUGCCAUGGGCGAAGCCUGAGCAGCCUGCCGCGUGAAUGAUGAAGGUCUUAGGAUUGUAAAAUUCUUUCCCGGGGACGAUAAUGACGGUACCCGGAGAAGAAGCCCCGGCUAACUUCGUGCCAGCAGCCGCGGUAAUACGAAGGGGGCUAGCGUUGCUCGGAAUUACUGGGCGUAAAGGGCGCGUAGGCGGACAGUUAAGUCGGGGGUGAAAGCCCGGGGCUCAACCUCGGAAUUGCCUUCGAUACUGGCUGUCUUGAGUACGGGAGAGGUGUGUGGAACUCCGAGUGUAGAGGUGAAAUUCGUAGAUAUUCGGAAGAACGGGGGUGGGGGAAGGCGACACACUGGCCCGUUACUGACGCUGAGGCGCGAAAG
rnacentral:rRNA from 1 species